AAACCAGAGGAACAUGAGCAGCAUCACCGUCCAUCAGCUCCAUCGGGUGGCCAGAUAUCAUGAGUUCAGCAGCAAGUUCAGGAAGGUAAGAAAGAUCUCCAUCCUUCACUCUAUCCUCUCUUCUCUCAGAGACUGAAGCUUCAUAAAUCUGACCCAUCUCUCUCAGUAUGUGCUCCAAACCAAAGGUGGCAGCAUUAAGCUUGUUGGAGAUCUUUUCUAGAUUUAGUU